GAGCUGGGUUAUUACUUUGACUAAACCCCUGGGUCAAUUGCUUUUCUAUGAAAAAUGGGUUAAAUAUAACCCAUAUUGGGUCAUUUUCCGUACCCAUUACCUGGGUUAUUCGCUAAACCCACAUCAGCACCCAGGCCCUGGGUCAUUUCAACCCUGUAAUCUUGUCAAUAUAUUUGAAUUUUGAAUUUUACCGCCCGGACGCCAUUGCCAAAACGGCUAGUAAACUCAAGAACUACCAACGUCCAGAAGAAAGGACACCGGAUGGCAUGUGAAAGCAUUGUUUAGGUGGACUUCUCUCCUCUGACCGGUUACCAAGACAGCUGGGUGUGUAGGAAACUGGAACUAAGUCACUGAAGAAGUAAACCGAUGAAAACCGAUUUGGAUUGUCUGAGAGAUCUGUAGGGCACAAGUAAGAGGAGAAGAAUGCUGCUCAGCUGGGUCGGCGUCGGCCACACUACUUAUUCAAGAAGCCCUUGGAUAUCAUCGGCAUGUAUGAAGCACAGUCAUUCCGGUAGUCCGUUCCUCGAUGGACGUGAUGACCUGGCACCAAAACCGCUUAAUGUGUACGGAGCUGUGUCUGCAUCGAGGGAAGAACGCGGCACUGAAAUGACACAAAUGAAAGAAGAUUACUUCUGCUCUGCUGGGUCUGUGACACUAUUUAUCCGAGGAGUCCUCAAACAUCAGGAUGUAGGAAGACACAAGUAAAAGGAGAAGAAUGCUGCUCAGCUGGGUCGGCGGCCACACUACUUAUUCAAGAAGCCCUUGGAUAUCAUCAGCAUGUAUGAAACUUGUGGUGAGAUGCCAAGAGCUGCCAUGAGGGAUAUGCAACCUGCAGCUUCACCGUGCUUUUGGGAGGUCAUCUACUACGUGAACCUUAAUAUCUACAAGCCAGCUACUUUAAAUCCUUGAAAGGGUAGUGAUGUCAAUCAAACCAGAUCACGAGACAAGGUCCUGAGGUACAAACUGUCAAUAUAAUUGCGACAUCCCUGUCAGUUCUUUUGGACUGGAUACAUGCUGUGUUUGAAAUGUAUUAUUUGGAUAACCACCCAUCAGGGAAUACCUUGUUUGUUAAUGACAGAUAGACCUGCCAUGGACAUGUAGUGCACACUUUGAUGUUUUUUUAUUUUAACGUUUUCUAUGUUUUUUCAAUGUUUUU